GUUGUCAUGGCCGAGAGGUUAAGGCGAUGGACUCAAAAUCCAUUGGGGUCUACUCGCGCAGGUUCGAAUCCUGCUGUCAACA